rnacentral:misc_RNA from 1 species
GACAGAGGGUGCAAGCGUUGUUCGGAAUCAUUGGGCGUAAAGCGCGCGUAGGCGGCUGAUCAAGUCGGAUGUGAAAGCCCAGGGCUCAACCUUGGACGUGCAUCCGAAACUGGUCAGCUUGAGUUUCGGAGAGGAUGGCGGAAUUCCCAGUGUAGAGGUGAAAUUCGUAGAUAUUGGGAGGAACACCAGCGGCGAAGGCGGCCAUCUGGACGAAAACUGACGCUGAGGCGCGAAAGCGUGGGGAGCAAACAGG